UGGCAAACCAAGGCGCGAUGGUAUCGCA
rnacentral:piRNA from 1 species